rfam:Penicillium arizonense strain CBS 141311 PENARI_contig006, whole genome shotgun sequence.
GGCGCGGUAGUUCAGUGGUUUAGAACGUCCGAUUGCAAAUCGGAAGGUCGGGAGUUCGAGUCUCCCUCGCACCU